rnacentral:misc_RNA from 1 species
AGUUUAAAUAAAAUUUCUGUAGAGAUCGAGCUAACAAUAAAAUUUUUCACAGUUUUAGAAUAAAAAGAGAAAUAUAAUGUCAAGUUUGACCAACCAAUAAAGUUGAAUAAAUCAUGAUAUCCGCUCUAGUUUCUCGUUUUGUGAUAUUAGUUUUUGGAACUUUAUACCCUGCAUAUGCUUCUUAUAAGGCAAUUAAAACGAGAAAUACUAAAGAAUAUUUAAAAUGGAUGAUGUACUGGGUUAUAUUCGCAUUAUUUACGUGUGCCGAAACUGUGGCUGAUUUAUUCGUAUGCUGGCUUCCUUUCUACUACGAAUUGAAGAUUGUAUUUAUAAUUUGGUUGUUAUCUCCAGCAACUCAAGGCUCAAAAAUUAUAUAUAAGAAAAUUGUUCAUCGGCAAUUAGCUAAACAUGAAGAAGAGAUCGAUACAUAUAUCGAACAAGCCUCAGAUAAAGGCUACUCUGCACUGUUAGAGAUUGGUUCCAGAGGCUUAAGCUAUGCCACAAAUGUCGUACUCACUACAGCAAUGAAGGGUCAAACAGCAGUUGCUGAUCAUUUGAGGCGAAGCUACAGUUUGAACGACGUCGGUUCAAAUCAGCUGUUUGAAGGACCUUCUCCAACUGACUCAGAAAUUGUAAUUGAAAGAAAGCAGAAGAAAGAACGUACAAAAAAACAAUCGGCAAAAGCCAGCUCUGACCUCUCAUCUGUUGAUGAAGAGGACGAUGACGAUUCAAAAAUUUCUUCAUCAAAACGUCAGCUUCAGAACACAUACUCUCUCGAGGAGAAAAUUUGUAACGCAACUGGCGAUUCCAAUGUGAAACAGCGCUGGAAACGGCGAUCAGGCGAUGAUUAAAAAACAUCGAUUCUCGCGUGUACUUAAUGCUUCAUUUUCUAAAAUACUAACAGCAUGUUUCAGAGACUUGAUUGGUUUUUUUUUCAGCUUGAUGCUUAUGGAACGUUACCUAGAACCCGUCGUUCUGCCCGAUCAACCAAAAAGAGUUGAUAACAAAUUUUUUUUAACUUCUAUGACUAAUGACCAUAAUGUUUUUCAUUACAUACUGUAUGGAUAUUUCUCACUAUACAAAAAUUUUAUGUUAUUAUUUUCUUUACACUCUCUGCAUGAUUAUUAAAUUGGAUAUUGGUAUGCGUGUGUGUAAAUGUAUAAAUAAAAGCGUUUUAUCGCUUUUAUGUUUAAAAAAUUUACUUAAAUAAAAUUAUUUGUGCGGUGUUAGAUGGCAGCACCUGUUAAACC